rnacentral:rRNA from 1 species
UACGGAGGGAGCUAGCGUUGUUCGGAAUUACUGGGCGUAAAGCGCACGUAGGCGGCUUUGUAAGUUAGAGGUGAAAGCCCGGGGCUCAACCCCGGAAUUGCCUUUAAGACUGCAUCGCUUGAAUCCGGGAGAGGUGAGUGGAAUUCCGAGUGUAGAGGUGAAAUUCGUAGAUAUUCGGAAGAACACCGGUGGCGAAGGCGGCUCACUGGACCGGUAUUGACGCUGAGGUGCGAAAGCGUGGGGAGCAAACAGG